AGCGAACGCUGGCGGCAGGCCUAGCACAUGCAAGUCGAACGAACUCUUCGGAGUUAGUGGCGGACGGGUGAGUAACACGUGGGAACGUGCCUUUUGGUUCGGAAUAACUCAGGGAAACUUGUGCUAAUACCGAAUGUGCCCUUCGGGGGAAAGAUUUAUCGCCAUUAGAGCGGCCCGCGUCUGAUUAGCUAGUUGGUGAGGUAACGGCUCACCAAGGCGACGAUCAGUAGCUGGUCUGAGAGGAUGACCAGCCACACUGGGACUGAGACACGGCCCAGACUCCUACGGGAGGCAGCAGUGGGGAAUCUUGCGCAAUGGGCGAAAGCCUGACGCAGCCAUGCCGCGUGAAUGAUGAAGGUCUUAGGAUUGUAAAAUUCUUUCACCGGGGACGAUAAUGACGGUACCCGGAGAAGAAGCCCCGGCUAACUUCGUG
rnacentral:rRNA from 1 species